rnacentral:rRNA from 1 species
ACAAAGAAGAGUUUGAUCCUGGCUCAGGAUGACCGCUAGCGGCAGGCUUAACACAUGCAAGUCGAGGGGCAUCGCGGGUAGCAAUACCUGGCGGCGACCGGCGAAAGGGUGAGUAACGCGUGAGCAACA